AAAUCGACGACUUACCAUAAAAAAAAAAAAAUAAAAUAAAAUAGCAAUCAUUAUUCAUUAAUAAAGUUUCUUAAGACAAUGACGAUUUUUAUCAUACAGUACUUAUUAUUCUUAAAUAUUAAAUAAAAGGUAUCAAGGCCGUGUUCAUAGUCGAUGCUUAAGAAUAAGCAUGGUUUAAGCUUAUUUUGAUACUAACUGUACAACACAUAGGUACUUAAAUCAUUAUAUAAUCAUAUUAUUAUAAUAUGCAUUUUUGUAGUUGUCUUAUUUAUGUGCUGACCUACAAAUAAAAUUAUUGAGUUUUAAAAAAUACGAACAAAGUUACGCGUAGUUCUUCUUCGUUAAUAAUAAAUAGGUAUACAUAAACGCAUGGUGUAUAAUUAUGAAAAGAUACAGUUGCAUUGGUAUAUUUUAUAAAAUUAAUGGUUAAAGAGCUAUAAAAUAUAUUAUGCAUAUUGGGUUGCGUGACAACAAAAUUAUUAUACUUUAAAACUAUAGCUGAAGUCACGCAUUUGUAUGUUUAAGAAAUUACUCAAUCCAGGAACCACCUAGCUGCUAUAUGAAAUUCCAUUUUAUUACCCAAGUCAAUCUCAUACGUUCGGCAGUCACCAGCAGUAUGCAAGCGGUCUGCAAAUCUUAUAAAUUAAUUUUAUUACAUUUUUAAUUUAUUAAGACGUUCAAUGAUUAUCCACUGCGAAGGAUAGAAAACUUAAAACAAGGAUCCAUUUAUUUUAUGUUCAAAAUUGAAGGAAAUUACUUAUUAAAUAACGUCAGAUUUGAUUAAACAGAAAUCUAUGGCAUUCUGGCGGUAAUACCCGAUUGAACCGUCACGGGUGUUCACUGGUGAUGUAUCUUCACUGAAUGACCAAUUAACUGACCGUCGCCGUGAAAUACAUGGUCAUAUACAAUAUGGUCGUUAACUUGUGGAAGGGCACUCUGAGGAAUUUUGGUUCAAAUAAGGCAUCGCGCAAUAAUGAACCCCUGAUGUAUUUCUGUUUAAAAAUAACCAACGAUAUGAUGGAAGAAAUAUUAAGAGCUGGACUAAAAACUUAAAAAUAUGUUUAAGCUAAUGGCGGAAAAUUGGAUAAAAUUGAAAGUUUUUUUUCAUAUAAUUAGACAUCUUGCAGUAAAAAAAAAUCAACACAAAUUCUUAUGGAGUAGAAACUAAUCAUUUUGAAAUUACUUAUAAAUCAAAAAUUACAAAGGAAUCUAUUAAGGAACCUAUAGAUGCUAAAUCAUUGUCACACCUAUAAAAAAUAUUUUUUUUACAUAUAUGCGAUCAUGUAUAUGACGGCGACGGUCAGUUAAUUGGCCAUUUAGCGAAGUUAAAUCACCAGUGAAAACCCGUGACGGUUCAAUCGGGUAUUACCGCCAUAACACCAUAGAUUUCUAUUUGAUCGUAUCUGACGAGAAACGUACAACUAUUGAUUAUGAAAACUAAUAUAUUAAACACAUAUAAUAAUUACAAUUAUAAAUAAAUGGUACAACGCACACUAU